GUAGGUGGCAAGCGUUGUCCGGAUUUAUUGGGUUUAAAGGGUGCGUAGGCGGCCCUGUAAGUCAGUGCUGAAAUCCCCCGGCUUAACCGGGGUGGUGGCGUUGAUACUGCAGGGCUUGAGUACAGAUGAGGUAGGCGGAAUUGACGGUGUAGCGGUGAAAUGCAUAGAUAUCGUCAAGAACACCGAUAGCGAAGGCAGCUUACUGGGCUGUAACUGACGCUGAUGCACGAAAGUGUGGGGAUCAAACAGGAUUAGAUACCCUGGUAGUCCACACUGUAAACGUUGAUUACUCGCUGUUUGCGAUACACAGCAAGCGGCUUAGCGAAAGCGAUAAGUAAUCCACCUGGGGAGUACGCCGGCAACGGUG
rnacentral:rRNA from 1 species